GAAUUCGCCCUUAGAGUUUGAUCCUGGCUCAGGAUGAACGCUGGCGGCGUGCCUAACACAUGCAAGUCGAACGGAGUUCUUAAGGAAUGCGACUUCGGUCAAAUGACUUUUGAACUUAGUGGCGGACGGGUGAGUAACGCGUGAGCAACCUGCCUUUCAGAGGGGGAUAACGUUUGGAAACAGAUGCUAAUACCGCAUAAGAUUACAGUACCGCAUGAUACAGUGAUCAAAGGAGCAAUCCGCUGAAAGAUGGGCUCGCGUCCGAUUAGAUAGUUGGUGAGGUAACGGCUCACCAAGUCGACGAUCGGUAGCCGGACUGAGAGGUUGAACGGCCACAUUGGGACUGAGACACGGCCCAGACUCCUACGGGAGGCAGCAGUGGGGAAUAUUGCACAAUGGGCGAAAGCCUGAUGCAGCAACGCCGCGUGAGGGAAGACGGUUUUCGGAUUGUAAACUCCUGUCGUUAGGGACGAUAAUGACGGUACCUAACAAGAAAGCACCGGCUAACUACGUGCCAGCAGCCGCGGUAAAACGUAGGGUGCAAGCGUUGUCCGGAAUUACUGGGUGUAAAGGGAGCGCAGGCGGACCGGCAAGUUGGAAGUGAAAACUAUGGGCUCAACCCAUAAAUUGCUUUCAAAACUGCUGGCCUUGAGUAGUGCAGAGGUAGGUGGAAUUCCCGGUGUAGCGGUGGAAUGCGUAGAUAUCGGGAGGAACACCAGUGGCGAAGGCGGUCUACUGGGCACCAACUGACGCUGAGGCUCGAAAGCAUGGGUAGCAAACAAGAUUAGAUACCCUGGUAGUCCAUGCCGUAAACG
rnacentral:rRNA from 1 species